UACAGAGGUCUCAAGCGUUGUUCGGAUUCAUUGGGCGUAAAGGGUGCGUAGGUGGUCGAGUAAGUCUGAUGUGAAAUCUUCGAGCUCAACCCGAAAAUGGCAUUGGAUACUAUUCGGCUGGAGGGUUGGAAGGGGGACUGGAAUUCUCGGUGUAGCAGUGAAAUGCGUAGAUAUCGAGAGGAACACCGGUGGCGAAGGCGAGUCCCUGGACAAUCCCUGACACUGAGGCACGAAAGCUAGGGGAGCAAACAGG
rnacentral:rRNA from 1 species